GGGUCUGUGGUCUAGGGGUAUGACACUCCCUUAGCAUCUGGAUGGUCUACGAUCACCUGGAUCCUGAGCUGGGAGAGGUCCCGGGUUCAAUUCCCGGCGGAUCCA